rnacentral:rRNA from 1 species
CGCUGGCGGCGUGCUUAACACAUGCAAGUCGUACGUGAAAGUGGCUUCGGCCGAUGAGUAAAGUAGGCGCACGGGUGAGUAACGCGUGGAUAAUCUGCCUGGUAGUGGGGAAUAACGGCUGGAAACGGCCGCUAAUACCGCAUGAGCUUCAUAUUCAGCUUUAUGAAGGAAAGAGGGCCUCUGCAUAUGCUCUUGCUACCGGAUGAGUCCGCGUCCCAUUAGCUAGUUGGCGGGGUAACGGCCCACCAAGGCGACGAUGGGUAGCUGUUCUGAGAGGAUGAUCAGCCACAUUGGAACUGGAACACGGUCCAAACUCCUACGAGAGGCAGCAGUGGGGAAUAUUGCGCAAUGGGCGAAAGCCUGACGCAGCGACGCCGCGUGAGGGAAGAAAAGGUCUUCGGAUCGUAAACCUCUGUCAGAAGGGAAGAAGUUAGCACGCGCUAAUCAGCGUGCUAUUGACGGUACCUUCAAAGGAAGCACCGGCUAACUCCGUGCCAGCAGCCGC